CUUUCACUUUACUUUUUGAUUCAGUUGAUUUAAAAGUAGCUCUACUUAUUGAAACAAAAAAAAACACAAAUUCAAAGAUUCAACCAUCAGAGACCAAGCAAAAGCUAAAGAAAACUCAACUUCUUCCUCCUGUUACUUCACCGCCGCUGUUGAUCACCAUGUAAUCAAUAUAUACACAACCAAUCACGUCCUAUUCUCGAACCGUUCCUUUGCUCACGCUUCGCUUCAUCACUACAACGAAUCCUUCUCUCACGACCUUCGAUUGUAAACCGGAUUCGGCCAAGGGUUAUAGCCGGUGCUGAUCUCUUAGUCUUCAGUAAGUGUGAAAACUGAAAAGUUGCCAAUGAGUAUACGAGCAGCUCAAGGCUUAUCAGAAUGAUGGGAACUACACAAAAGAGAGAGUACCCAGAUUGAAGCUUUUAUUUAGGGCAGAGAGAAAGACGAAGAAUACUUUGAUGCUGAUGGGAACUUUGUAGAAUACUUUAGAGACAAGGAAGUCAAGGAUGCAUGUCCUGAGAGUAUUGACAUUAAUCCAAUGUACAUGGGAAGCUGUGCUGCAAAUGAUACUAAGAAGCAUGAAGAUAGUGGGACCGUAAAGCCAUCGGAUGAACUUUCUCAAGAUAAUAUCAGACUCAUAAAGAUGUGUAUUUCUAAACUCUUUGACCCUGUAGAAAAGGUCCUUCUAGCUUUUAGGAGAUUGAAAGGGAACUGGAAUGGGAUAAGAUGAUAUUUGAGACAAAGCUUAUCAUUAGUUUUGCUAAAUCCAGUAUGGUGACUUCAGUUACGUCUCAUAUUGAUUUUGCUAUAACAAAAGCUUUGCUAAAAUGAAAACUGUGUCCUGUUAACAUUAGUUUUUCCUUAUGUAUUCAAGAUGUUUAUCACAAGGAGGAGCAAGAUUUUUUCCAGCUUGAAGCUGGUUAGAGCUAUUAAUGCUUUUCUAAAUCUCAUGAUAUUUCAAAAAAAAAUAAUUAAAAGAAAAUAGUUUUAAUGAUGGAACAUGUGUCAU